CUGAUUCUGAAGAUCUGCAGAGGAGCCCAAGAGUUUCCAUUUCUAACACGUUCCAGGUAAACUGGCAGUUGUUGGGCCUGGGACUAUAAGAACCAUUGCUUGGAGGACAGAAGGGUCCUGAGGACUGGGAUUCACAACAAAGCUUGCUGGAUGGGGAAGGAAAAGGUCAUGUCGCCAGAGCAACAGGAAGACCAUCCUGCAGAAAGAAAUAGAAGGGUAGCUAUUAUAGUGAUGAAUCCUCGUGACUCCAAAAUCAUGUGAUUAUCAUUAGAAUAGUUUGAUAACAUUAAUUUCUAGUUUUCAAGUUUUUAUCUAGUGUUUUCCAAUAUAUAGGGUGCAGCAAAAUGACCGUACAAGUUUGUUGAAAAGCCAGACACCUGGUCCUCAGCUUUGCAACUUCUAUUCAGGAAAUCUCGGAUGAAGCCCAGGAACAAGUGAAGCAGGAAACUUCAUGAUCAUCCAUUGGUUGAAAAGAUAUAAUGAAAACUAUGGCAGAAACCCGUUGGACUCCUUUGUAUUCAACAAAUCUUUGUUGAGCACCUACAGUAGACCCAGAGCCGUUAGAAUAGAUGGAUUCACUCAAGGAAACAGUAUUGAGCUUGGAUUUCAUGUGAUUUUAAAUCUUACCUGGGAGAGAUCCAGUGCCAUCCCUCUUAUUUCCCAUAUGAAGACUACAGCUCAGACCGAAGACAUGACCUGGUCUAGACCAUGCUUACAUGUAGUUUCAGGGCAGGACCAGACUGUCAGCUUCUAAAGACUCAAUCCAGUCUUCCCACCCCAUGAAGAGCUGCUUUCACCGAAGAUUCACCAUGCCACUGUUCUUCAAAGAGCUUGUGGAAACCUUUCACAAAGCUUGCUUAUCAAACUGCCUUUCCAAAACUGAACCUCGAACCUUAAUCCAAUAAAAUCUUGC
rnacentral:lncRNA from 1 species